rnacentral:rRNA from 1 species
GACGAACGCUGGCGGCGUGCUUAACACAUGCAAGUCGAACGGAAAGGCCUGCUUUCCCUUGUGGAUUGCGGGUACUCGAGUGGCGAACGGGUGAGUAACACGUGAGUGAUCUGCCCCCAACUUGGGUAUAAGCCUGGGAAACUGGUUCUAAUUCCCGAUAGGACUGCAGGGUGGUGCCUGUGGUGGAAAACGAUUUUCUAGUGGUUGGGGAUGAGCUCGCGGCCUAUCAGCUUGUUGGUGGGGUAAUGGCCUACCAAGGCGGCGACGGGUAGCCGGCCUGAGAGGGUGGACGGCCACAUUGGGACGGAGAUACGGCCCAGACUCCUACGGGAGGCAGCAGUGGGGAAUAUUGCACAAUGGGCGGAAGCCUGAUGCAGCGACGCCGCGUGGGGGAUGACGGCCUUCGGGUUGUAAACUCCUUUCGACCGAGAGGAAGCCACCUGGUUGGAAGGGUGGUGACGGUAGUGGUAGAAGAAGCACCGGCUAACUACGUG